UGCGCAUGUGCGCUCGGUUGCCGGUUACAGAUGGGAAGCCGGCGCACGCGACGGACAGUGAAGCGGUGGGUGCCGGGAUCACGGAGUUGGAGGCAAAGCGGCUGGUGGCGGACGGCCGCGAUAGCAACAUCACCUUCGACGAGUUCCACCACUUCCAUUGAUACAUCAGCGAACAGAAUAAGGAAGUCCUUAUAAGUGUAGCCUUCAUCCACCUGAAGCAGGCCGAUUUGUCCAAGCAUAUCGAAAACCUCUCUGCCGCUAGCCGCACCAUACUGCUCUCCGUCUCCAUUAGUUCGCCUUUCACCUCUUGGUUUAUGCUCCAUUGCGUGGGACAUCAUGGUUAACCAUUGGUUGAUUUUGCAGAGUCUUACCUGCAGUCACUCGUGAGGGCUCUGUCGCUACUCCUCGACGUCACCAACUUCUCGCGUUGGAUCCAGAGAAAAGACGGAAGCUCCUGCAAAUCCUUAUCUGAUAUUGCAGGAUUGGCAACAAGAUGGAGCUUGAGGCUGUAGUGAAGGCAACCGUCCAGUUGCUGAACAAGGUGGUGAUCAUAUAAUUGUGCUAUCUUUUUCAUGAGUUUUGCACUCUAUGUUCUUUUCAGCUGGUAGCAUACAGAACAAGUUUGUUCAUGCAUCAUAGGAAUUGUCAUAUUUCAAGGUAAGCAUCUCACAUGAAAACUUUCUUGCCAAUAAAUAAUUUAAGUAAGAUGUAUGUAACUUGAACCAUGUGCACUUGCACAUUGUUGUUGCUACAUAUUUUAACACCAAUGAGUUAUGGCAUGAAUUUAUUAUCACGUCUUGUGCUUUGCAAGACCGCAGGAUUUAAACUGCGCCUAAUAUCACUAUGGGAAUACGAAAACACACGCCACUUCUUGUAGUAUAUAUUUUGAAAUUGGAAUAUACUUUAUUUCCAUGCAACCUCAAACAAUAGCCACUGUACGCAUAAUAGUAGACAUUUACAUUCAGACUCGAUAGCCACUGGACGCCUUGUAAUAGUAGACAUUUACAUUCCGGCUAAAUUGGAAUAAUAUGCUAAGAGGCUACCUCAAGAUUCAAAUGAAACUUAUCCAAUUUGAGAAGGUAAUGAUUUCAGUUUUUGUACUGUACAAAAAAUCGUCAGAAGUGUUUGUUAUCAACAUAAUUAUUCUUCUGUAGUCUUAAGCAUGUAAUGCAUGUCUUCCACUUACAUAGUACAAAUCUUGCAAGUGAUGAUUUCUUUUUAUCUGGCAACAUGUAGCUUUGUUAUUCUACUUCCAAAUGGCACACUCGGAGCGGCACUUUCGCAUCCAGCAAAUAGAUCAACAAUGAUGAAAUAUUUGCAUCAGUACAUCACAAAUGCGUACUGCGUAGAAGCCCUUUUAAAUCUAUCUAGGUGACAUGAACACAUAAAUGAGAUCUGCUGGAGAUGGUGCAUCAACUCUUACUGCCAUGGUACUGUCACAUGAUCUCUAAUUUGAUUUCCAUUGUCAUCUCCUUCCUCCCAGACCAGCCACCGUCUCCAGUUUUCAAAUACUUCAAGGAUAAACUACUGGAACUGCUGGGACUGGGAGCAUAUCUACAUCUUCUUUGUGAGGAGCAUUAUCUUCUUCGUGAGGAGUAUUGUCGAGUAUUGUCUUUUUCGGUAGCAGUACAAUUCAGGUCUUGUAAGUUAGAUACUUGGACUCAAUGCACUAGGUCUAGAUUCUGUAAUUUAGAUGCUACCUGCAAAUGUUGGUUCCAGACCAUGUUGACACCAUGUCACUUGCAAAUGUUGGUUCCAGACCAUGUAUUUAGCUUGGUUGCAAUUUUAAUGCAUGAUCAUGUUUUCGUGUUGGAUUAAAAUGCCA